GUGACAUCAUCCCCCGUUGCUCAGCCACGUCUUGGGGAUGUUCAGAUCCCCACAGACAUUUGGGUCCCAUAAACAGCCAGCCUGUUUGUUAGCACCGUCUGGGAGGUUCUCUGGGAAUGCCCUCCACCAUUCUGCCCAUGACAGCGUGCACACCUUUCAACAUACAGAAACUUCAAUGAAUGCCUCCCCGCUAAAUCCACUGUAACCCAAUGAAAUGAUAUGAACCCAAAGAGCACACACUUCCCCAAAUACCCCGAGGGCUUUGCAGUAGCUCUUGGCAGGCAUUAAAAAUAGAAACGUUUGAGAGACAGACUGAGAGCCACGCUCUGGGUCACUGUUUCACAAAUGCAAUGCUGACUUCCCAGGCUGGGCUUCUCAGCACGGGAACACGGUGCCCUCCCCACCCCUCUCCCAGCACCCUAAACUGAAGGCCAGAUGAGAUUUACGGAGUGAACUCAGCUGCUUUUGAUCUCUAUUCAAGGUGCCAUCAAGGGAUCUUAAUAGGUAAUAUCUUAGCAAAUGCUUUAAGGCCUGAAACCGUCAUUAAAGAAACUUCUGAUUCUCACACUUGUCUGAAAGAAUAGAGGAGCAAGCUGGCUUCAAAUGCUGGCUGACAGAUGGGAAGACAUAUGGACUAUAGGAUUGCUGAUCUAAAGACUCAGAGCCAUGGUCAGGCUGAGGAAACAUACAUCUUUAUUUUGAUGUUGACCUCAAAGGGAAGAGGCCUGAGUCAACAGAAAGGGGAAAGGGCAGAAAAUAUCACAAGUCUGGGGCCAGGAUUGCUUUGAACUUGAGGACAAAUAUACUAAACGGUACGAAGUUGACAAAAAGGCUUCCUGACACUCCGUGUCUACAAAUUUAGCAGUCUGACCCAUAUAGCUGCUGGAUGCAUUUUCAGUAACGAGCAGAGUGAGGAUCAGUAACGCUGAAGCAAUCUCUUGUGGCACCCAAGAAGUUUGUCAUUUCUUCCAGCCCCGGCUAUUCACCCAGCCCAGCACAGAGCCAUGCAGGGGCACGGGGGGCUCUUGGGAUUGAAGUCUUUUGUUCAUCAUUUAGGGGUGACAGCAGCCCAGGAUCACCCGCUGGCACACCUCACUGGGUCCCUGCAGAUGGUUUCUCCUCCGGUUCCAUAUUUGUUCCUGCAUAGGCUCUAUAUGAAAAAACAUACGACCCCUUCCCAACUCAUUAACAUUGCACAUAGCAUUUUCUAUAAAACUCCCCUUGGGACACUUAACUCUAUUCCUUUCCAGCACUGAAAAAAAAAUAAAUAAAAUGCCCAGGAUAAAGUUUAGACAUUUGGAGCCUUCGGCUGAAUUUAAAUGGCUGCACAAGGAAUCCACGAAACAAAUAAAGAGCCAGAUAUCCUAUUGUCUUCCCAGGAAAACGCAGGGCCUUUCAGCUCGCUGGCUUUCUUCGUGUCGCCUUUUUAUCACAAGUGUGUGCUGACGAAACCACUUUAUUGCAGUCAGUUCCGAGAGAUCAAAUUGAAUGUUGGUGCAGAGUUUCAGUGCUCGGCAGCAAAGCGCAGCGGCUUCGUUUCACGUCCCUGGGACACUGGAAGCGCAGUUGUCAGUCUGAGGCUGACAUCUACUCCUUGUGCUGUUUCAGUUUGCUCCUUAUGGGGAUGUUGUUGAAGGCAGCAGCUUGCUAAGAGCUUGGGUGCUGCGUCGAUUGAGAAAAAUGAAAAUAAUGCUUGGUAAAAAUAGAGAAAGCUGUUUUCCAAACUCCUCCCCACCCCCGAACCAAAGCGAAAUACAACAGAAUAAAUUUCCUCCUUCCUUCCUAACCAUGUUAGGGUAAAACAGCUACCUGGACUGAAUUUCUUGUGCUUGAUGCAACAAACCCAAAUAAACUUGCUGAAAAGUCUUUACUAGGUUGAAUUUUUCAUACUUUAGAAAUCCAGAGAGGAAAAGCAGAAAGGAUGAAUUUAUACAAGACCAUUUCCAACAGAAGCAUCAAUCCUUAUUUUCACUGGAGGAAAUAUCACACUGAUACAGAGUGUAAAAUCUAUCUCAAGGUCUUUAGGAAGUUUUUUGAAGAUUUUACCAUAGAGAAGAAAGUCUCCUCUGAGCUCAGUAUGUAACUCCCUGGCCAAAUUCACUGGGGAUGCAUUGAACCAGACAGGAAAAGCUUUUAGUGCAUGGGCUCUAUGGGUUGCACUGAUGCUGUCUCAUUUGCCAGCUUUUCUCUGCCCCAGGACUUUUGUCUCCCCAUCCAUCCCCCAACCAAGGGGUGAGCGGCCCAGGGUCCAUCCCCCAGCAGCCUCAGAGCUGUCCCAACCAUGCACUGAGACAGCAAGCAGCCCCAUGCCUCCAUCCACAGCCAUUGCCUGGUCCCAGUGCAGCUGCAGCACGAUGCCUGCCGAACGCUCUGGGAUUUGUUAAAAAUGAGGCUUUUCUAAUAUGCUUAAGAUGACAGACCUCAAGUUGUCAUAUAUUAAACUGGUGCAUACAUUCCUUCCCCCAAGUAACCAAUAACAGGACAAAAAUCCCCGCCAACUCCACUCUGUCCCUCCUGCCAAGGAUUGUUUGAGCUCAGCUCAUCCCGAGUGCCCCAUUGGGAUCCAGAUAUAGAUUAAUACAGUUUUGAAAUGCACAAGGGCCACAACCAUGCAAGGCUUGAUCCAACCCAGACUGGAGUCCGUGGAAAGGUCUGCAUUGACGUAAGCACACAGGGAGCAGCCCCACCACGCCUGCCCCCAGAAACCAGCCCUGGGUUGGGGUUGCCAGCAGGCUCCAUCCCACAGCCCCGGCAUGGGAACGGGACCGGCUGUGCCCACGCACUGCAGCCGGCCAUGGCCCUGCAAGCUGUGCCAGGGCAGCUUUGCACAGGGCAGGGGCCCCAUGCUCCUCCAUGUUCACUUCUCAUCCACCAUUUCUUUGGGAUUUGCUGCAGCACAGUAGUAAGAAACCCUUUACAGUCCUUGGUACCGGCGCAGUGCUGGCAGGAGACGGCAUCCACGCAGGCACCGUCCCCUAAUUUGAGGCCUUCUGCUCUAUCACAGCAAUAAAAACUGCCCAGUCGAAUCCUUUGUCUUUAAGAUUUCCAUUCUGACUGCAGCAAGUGCGGAUUUAUUGGUGGGAGCAACUGCAGGAGGAACACGCAGCGAGCAGCAGGCACGUGUGUGCGUGCCAGCGCGGCAUGCCGUGUUCUGCCCAGCACAGCAGAAACUCACGGCGCCCAGGAUUAAAUAUGGAACUAAUAGAAAACGGGUUUCCCGGUGCGUUUAGAAAACAAAUAAAUAAAUAAAAUCGGCAUCUUCUCCCGUGACAUACACGGCCCAGCCAGAGCAUUGCGGGAAUAUAACAACUGGGCAGGACUGAAGCCAAGAGAGCAGGAUCCCAGGAUCCAGACACCUGCCUUAUUACGAACAGUGAUGCACAGCGUGGCCCCAGCUCUUUCACAGGCCUCCACUCACGCAAGCAAAAUUGCACAACCCAUACUGCUGCGGCUUGCCAUGCUCCUAUUUAAAGGCGCAGACUCACACCCCUGCAACAGCCCAUCCAGGGGCAGAACCACGGCUCCCCAGCAUGAAAUUCCCCCUGCAGCCUCCAAACCCUUCCAUGGAGGCAUGGGAAAUGCUUGAACACUUGCUGAAUUUUCAAAGCAACGUAUUCAUGAUGGUAAAAUCAGCUGUGGCAUCUUUCGUUGACUUCUGUAGGAAGGAGAAGGAUCACAGGACACGUCUCCAAGUGCACUAAGCGGCAUCUAUUUCCAAAGCUGCCCUCAGAUUUUUCCUAACAUCCAGCAAGAAAGUUGCUGACAGAAGCAGGCUGGUUCCUGUUUGUGGGGCAAGGAUACUCUGGGAUUCAAUAGAAUACCAAAUUUGGUAGAAUGCCUUCCACUUUGGUAGAAGAUAUUACAAACAACUGUGCAUUUUAACACGUUUUCGCAUUACGCAUCAUUCAUUUUGGGGAGGGGGUGGUGAUCGCUUUCUGCAGACAGCCAACAAGGCUUCCAAGAACGAAAACGUUCAUUGGAAGAUAAUGAAAAGCAGACAUUUAGCAACGUUUUCAUUUUGCAUGUUUAAAUAUUUAUAACUAUGUUCAUAAAACCACAUGUUUGCUCUCCUAAUGCUCUGGUGAUUGUGUUUAUGAAAUGCAGUAUUUCUCCUAUGCCCCCUUCCUUGUGCCCGCCCUACUGCUGGGCACGAUUUACUCGCACUGACGACGAGCUUAUAUGCACAAGGCUGCCCAAGAUUAAGAACAGAAUAUUACUGAAAAGAAGAAAACGUUUUCAGAACAUCCACGUUUUGCUGAUGCCUCCGUGAUUGGGAGCUUUGUAGGGGGCACUGACGCUGACUUCUUUCUUUCACAGUAAUUUAUUGUCAGCCUGGAAAGAAACUCUUUCUUAAGCUAUGGUAAAACAAUGAAGUAGAAGCGUGACAAAACCACAGCACUGACGCAAACUAUUCUAAUCAAGACUAUUUUUUCACCUAGCUGGGAUGAAAGAUGAACGACAAGAACAAACCUUGCUUUCAUACUGCGGGUGCCCAAGUUUGUGUUAGAAAUGUCUAAAAAGCUGUUUGAGUGCCACAGACGCUGAGAGUGUGGCUCUUAACAGACCCAGAUGUGAGCACACUCUGUUUUGCUCUGUCCUCUGAUUACAGACAUCACCAUACAGCUGACACGGUUGAUGCUGGUAUAGUAAACAUACAAAGAGAGUGCGAAUGCAAAGCAAAGCUAACAGAAAUCACAGCCAGGGACACAGGUGGGGUCUUGCUGAAACCACUCACAUGUGGGUUUCCACACAGCCCACCAAGUCUUUUUAUCAACAUCACCAUUCUCACAAUGCCCCACGUCUGCUUGUAAUUUUUAUAAAGGAACUGAGCGUUACUCAGGUCUUUUAAUUACAUUUUUCCCCCCCUUUAGCAAGAAAAUAAAUCUCCAACCUGAGAUCUCUGACCGGCUGAGGGAACUCCUCUGAAACCAACUCCUCAGCAGCACAGCGCGAGCACAGCAGAGCGCUUUGAUUUUGGCUCAGCCCAGCAUCCUCCUGAAGGCGCAGGGAGAAUCUUCAAGGCACAGUUCCUGCUCCUUUGCUCCUUUGCCCGCCUGCUCCUCCCGCACCAGCACAGAGCGAAAAGGAAACAGAAAGAAGGGCAGAUUGCAACGUCACGCCGGAAUCUCAUUUUAAAUACAAACGGAGUGCUUGCAAAGACAUUAAAGUAAAUCAUCCCCACUUACUGCAUUAU
rnacentral:lncRNA from 1 species